AAACUCUCCAGAAAAACUGCUGCCUGGAUUCUUACUUUUUCACCUCAUCAGUUACUUUUGAGCAGAUCAAUGUCAUGAGCUGGGGUGAGUACUCGUCUCAUUAUUCACCACCUUUGAGCUUUGAUUGCAGGAGAGGGAGCAACAGCUGUUUCUCAUCAGCGGGCCGGUUUUAUAAGGAGGAGGAAGACCAGACUACGAUGCCGGAUGAUUGCCGUUAACUGGUUCCUGGAUUCUUGGAUAACUCGCUCUGCUCCUGGAAGGAAAUCUCUGGUUCGUUCCUGUUUGUCUCCUCCGCCUGCCGACCCGCUCUCCACCUCGCUCACGCUACCUCUCCGGAUCAAUAUCCUCGCUCACUCUCUGACUCACCAUCAUCUUGGACCGCUUCCCCAUCUUGGAUAUCACCCUGGCUCACUCCCCCUCCAAACAACAACUCUUCUUUCGCCUACAAAUAAAAUCUCCCGGAACUACAAGACCCAUACUCACCUCUGUCUUCCUGUAGACGCCGCUUCCUGAUUUGGAUACCCACUGGACUUCAGUGCACCCUUAGUUUCCUGUUAAAUAAAUAUAAUUUUACCUUUUACUAUCAAA